AGGACGACGCUGGCGGCGUGCCUAAUACAUGCAAGUCGAACGGUCUUUCUAUGGAAGCUUGCUUCCACUGAGAAGAUAGUGGCGAACGGGUGAGUAACACGUGGGUAACCUGCCCAUAAGAGGGGGAUAACAUCCGGAAACGGGUGCUAAUACCGCAUAGUUUUCUUGAUCGCAUGAUCGGGAAAGGAAAGACGGCCUUUGUGCUGUCGCUUAUGGAUGGACCCGCGGCGUAUUAGUUAGUUGGUGAGGUAACGGCUCACCAAGACGAUGAUACGUAGCCGACCUGAGAGGGUGAUCGGCCACAUUGGGACUGAGACACGGCCCAAACUCCUACGGGAGGCAGCAGUAGGGAAUCUUCCGCAAUGGACGAAAGUCUGACGGAGCAACGCCGCGUGAGUGAAGAAAAGGUUUUCGGAUCGUAAAACUCUGUUGUCAGAGAAGAACAAGUUGGAGAGUAACUGCUCCAGCCUUGACGGUAUCUGACCAGAAAGCCACGGCUAACUACGUGCCAGCCGCUGC
rnacentral:rRNA from 1 species